rnacentral:rRNA from 1 species
UACGGAGGGUGCGAGCGUUGUCCGGAAUCAUUGGGCGUAAAGGGCGCGUAGGUGGCCCGGUCAGUCUUUGGUGAAAGCGCGGGGCUCAACCCUGCGUCGGCCAGGGAUACUGCCGCGGCUCGAGCACUGUAGAGGCAGGGCGGAAUUCCGGGGUGUAGCGGUGGAAUGCGUAGAGAUCCGGAAGAACACCGGUGGCGAAG